rnacentral:lncRNA from 1 species
UGAGCACUGGGUGUUAUAUGUUAGCAUAUUAAAAAAUAUUAAAAAAUUAAAAAUUAAAAAAUUAGAUAAUGUGACAGAUGAUAAGCACAGACACAGUGUCAGGUGAGUUCAUAGAAAGACUCACCUUUCUGCCUGGGGAUGGAGUUAGAGAUGGAGGAGACUUGAAGGGGAAGUAGCCUGUCAGUCUGGUUUCCUUGGCUGGGUCAGCCUGGUAGGACACAGAAGAAGACACUGGAUAGAGAAGUGAGCCUUGGAACAUGGUAAGGAGGGAUGGAGGUAAGUAUCAAGGUAUGCCUAUAUUGGAAAGGGCUCAGGGAAUCAGGGUCAAGAGUGUAGGCACCACCUUGAAAGAGAAAGGAAGACAUCGAAACAUUUUUAGUUGGGGAGAGAUAUGGUCACAGAGGCAAGGAUUUUAUUUGAUAAACUCUAGACUCAUGCUAUGGGGGAAAGGUUAAGGAGACCAGACUAGAAAAGGCUGAAAGCCUAAAUCGGUAAAGCUCCACUGAAAAAUGAUGAGGCUUAAGCCUCAUCACCUUGAGAGAGAUGAAAAUGUAGAGAUGGAUAUGGAAAGAGCCACUAGUAGGACUCUAACAAAGUCAUAAUGAUUGCUAUCCCAGAAUGGGAUGUGAAUUUAAAAAGAAAAAAAAAAAAAAGCAUGAAAGUGACUUUAUUCUUUCCUACAAUAUUGAAGACAGUCUUAUGUGGCCUUUUUAGAAAUUCAGAAGAUAAGGAAAAUUUGUAAUUAGUUGUCAUCAGGAGAUGUCUUUCUGAGACAUUCAUGUCAUCUUACGAUGUCAUGAACUUACACUUCCUAUUGGUGCCUCUUGCUGCCCACUUUCUAGGUCUUGUUGUGGUCCUAAUUUCUUGGCACUCUUGAUUUGGGAGAAUUUUCACAUCUUACUUUUAUAUUAGACACAGAAGCAGAAGGGACUUUAAUGUAUGAUUUUCUUUGGCCCUUUUCUUAGAUCAUAGAUACCUGAGCAGAGCCUGAAAGGAUCAUUGGAGAUCAUCUAGUUAAGUGGUAGCAGAAAACUUUUUAUCUCAGAUGCCAUCAUCAAAGUCUUAAUAGUGGCUGCUCAGAGUGCUGUGUUGACAAAGAAUGUGAGGCCCAUAUGGUUUGUGGAAAAGUGACAAGAUCAACUAAAGAUGCCCAUCAUGGGUGCAGCAGGGCGGAGCAGAAACACAUAUGCUUCAUGCAUCCAUUUCUGGGGUAAAAAAUCCAAGCUCUUAGCAUUAAUGGAUUUGACAAAGGUCACAGAGUUAGUUAGGAGUAUAGCUGCAAAGAAAACCAGGUCAUGUGGCUCCCAGUGCCAAGAUACCUCUUUCAUGUCUUCAGUAAAUAUUUGCUGAGGUUGGCAGGGUCCAGAUUACUUUUUCUUGUGUUUUUGUUUCUAGUGCUAGAUUUUCAGCCUUUAGCAAUGCAGACUAGGUCCCUUCUUUCAUGGAGACCAUCUUCCAGUGGGAGGUGGAUGAUGAAUAAAUGAAUAAGUAAGAUAAUAUCAGAUGGCUGUUGAAGAUUCGGGAAAAAAUAAAAGCCCGGGUGUAGUGAUAUGAAACAAAUAAAACAUGGCAGUAGGGCAGCCAGUCAGGGAAAUUGCUUCAGAAAAGAGGACUUUUUAGCUGAUACUUGAAUGAGAAGAAAGAGCCAGUGAGACCAAGAUCUGACAGAGGGAUAGGCCAGGUGGUACAGACAGCAGGUGCAAAGACACGAAAGCUGAAAGUAGCUUGAGUGUUUGAGGAACAGAAAGGAGGCCUGCAGGGCCAGGGCACAGUGAGUUAGCGGGACAGUAGUUCCUGGGAAGAUGGGAGAGUUACACAGGGGCCAGAUUACGUGUCACCAUCUCUUGGGGGAAGGGAGUCCUAGGGUCCUGCUCAGUAGCCCCAAGCAGUAGAAAAGUGAGAGGGCUAGACUGUAGGUCUCCAGUUUCUUAGUGCAGUGUUUUUGAAAGUCUCUAUGAGUGCGUAGCCCUUUCUUUCUUUUUAUAGGAAACUCCUUGAUUAUAACUGCCAAGAUCAAACAGCUGAUAAGAUCAAAAACUUUGCUCUAUAUAGAUUAGAGUGGAAAAUAGAAACCUGGAAUAAAUGUGUUUCCUUCAGGUGACCUUAGUAAAACAUUCAUGGGGUGCUGACAAGUACUUUGAAUUUAUACAAUGGGGAACACAGUUUAAAUACUUUGAUAUAUUGCAAGCAGCUUCUACGGAAUCUCAAAAAAGAUUGCGAAGCUCAUUUAAAUCUUGUACCAACCCUGUGAGAAUUGGUAGGAAAUAGCUAUAGCUAUUUUUUUUUCCAGAUGGAUAAAAUGAGGCAGAAAGAUUAAAUUAUUUGAUUUCAGAUUACUUCUCAUCGUCUUGCAUUCAACCUAACAGAUACAUUCUACACACCUUAAUUUAUAAAUAGAUCUGUGGUUGAAAUCCCAAAUUGGGAAAGCUUCGUUAGACUCUUUGAGUUUUUAGUUCUAAGGUCCUGAUUUAUGUAUUUACCUUAUUAAUUAUGAGUAAUAAAUAAAAUAAAAUGAAUCUUCCAAGAUUCACUCAUUCUUGAGCAAUGUGCUGAGCCUGCUGAAUUUAAUUUUAUUUGGCAACUGGUUCCUAAAUAUUUUCUGCUAGGAUUUAGGAUGGUCAAGUUUCAGGCUGACCCAUUUGAUAUUUGCAUAUAUUCCAUUAACUGCAUUGUCCUUUUCCAUCCCUCCCUUUCUUUCCCACUUUUCCCCUCCCGGGACUGAUUUACCUGUUCUAUGCAUUCUGUUCCUUAUAGGCUGUGCUCUCAAGCGACAGCUUAUGGGCUUAAUAAAUCCAGGCAAAUGUGUAAAUGGAUGUUAAUGGUCCACACUCCCCUUCAGCAUAGCAUGUAUACACUUUAAUGGUGACCUUUGAUGGUUAAUACCCAACUCAAAGGAAUGACUAAUGGCAGAAUUAGGAAGCCAAGUAGAUUUGGAGGUCAGCAUUGUAGCUAAUUGAAAGUAAUACAUUUGGGGGAAGUCAAGGACUUUGUGUGCCCCUCAGAUAAUCAAGAUAUGCCUAUUCCCAGAGCAAGCUGUCCUCCUGAAAGGUGGGCCUCAUUAUACAAGAUUUCAUGGACCUCAAGUUGGGUUUUUCUGAUGUGAAUAUAUAAAGGUGUGAGCUGUAUCUAGAAUGUUUCUCAACAAAUUAACAGAACUUAAUAUUGAUGUACAAAGUAUUAUCUGGACAAGAAGUAAACUUUAGGAAGAAUGUAAUUAUCAUCAGCAGAAUCAUUUCUACCUCUCCUUAGAAAGUAAUUGUGUUUUUUUUUUUUUUUAAUAAUUGUGUUUUUAAUGAGUCUUAUUUCCUACUAUAUUCUUUCUACAAACAGGCCAGAUUCUGGUCCUUACUUCUCUCUUGUUGACCCAGAUCUUAAAGCCUAAUUCAAGUUGCAAUGAACUGGGGAUAUAACUUAAAAGGGUAUAGUCCAGAAUGAAUAGACCUUCAGAUUUUUUUUCAGUGUAUCCCUGAUGUAUAGCACAGGAUUGGAUAUGUAUAGGAAAACUCAUCCUAAAGGGACACCUCACAUUUUGCUUUAAAAAUAUAUCUAUUUAACUAAGCUCUCAAAAUAUUGAAUUCAAUAAUCUCCCUGUGCAAUAUUUUCUUCCUUAAAGGAAGAUAAAUCUUUAAAUCUGCUUUCUAUAUAAAGGUAUAUGCAGGUAUAUGCAGAAAGGAAAUGAUUCUGCCAAAAGUACAGAAAAAGAAAAA